GUUCCUUGCCCUUGGCGUGCGCGGUGGCGUUGCCCAGGGACUGCAGCGAGCACGCUGAGCGCUGGUAGUCACUUUCCAGGUUCCUUUCAUCCAAGCAGAGUCUAAUCUGGAGAAAAAAUUCUGAGGCUGAGGAUCACCGGAAGAGGCAGCAGGAAGAAGCAAGUUGAGCAGGGAACCUUCUGAUGUGAGGGAGCAUGUCCUUACCCUCCCACCUCAAGAAGCAGCAGCCUGACCCAAAACUUCCUGAAGAUUUUCAACCUCCAGAGCCAGUGGAACUGAGCGGCCUCCGUGGCCUUGGCUGCAGGUACCACCACCUCCAGUCUGAGUGUUUGCUAACCAAGUCUGGGAUCCCGCAGCCAGCGGCCCCCAUGGGGCCCCCAAAUGGAACAGGAUUGUUUCUUUGGUGGGACUGGUUGGUGCUGUGACCAUUUGGCUAGGUCUUCCCCCACUCUUUUUUUUCAUCAGGCAUAAUUUUUUUUACCCACCCUUUCCUUGACAGUCUGCUUCCUUUGAUUUUUCCAAAAGAAGAAAAGAAGAAAGAAACUAGGUAACUGCUGGACUUUUCUAAAAAGAGAUGGGAAAGUGCUUUCUAAAACACAAAAUUUUUUCCCUAAGAAAAAAAGAAAGUAAACAAAACAAUCUAAGCAAUAUUAUCUGGGCUGGAAACUGGGUGCCCCUGUUUACUGAAGUUCUUUGAGGCAAAAAAAAAAAAAAUCAUUAGUUUAAUGCAGGCUUUUUAAAGUGUGCUAGAAAAAUAAAGGUUCAAGCUGUCACAGGA